rnacentral:tRNA from 1 species
UGGGGCGUGGCCAAGCGGUAAGGCACGAGACUUUGGAUCUCGCAUCCGGAGGUUCGAAUCCUCCCGCCCCAGCCA